GUGCUUCAGAGGCACACGGACUAAAAUUGGAACAAUACAGAGAAGAUUAGCAUGGCCCCAGCGCAAGGAUGACACACAAAUUCAUGAAGCGUUCCAUAUUUUU